rnacentral:lncRNA from 1 species
CACUUUAAUGGCAAUGUUAAAUAUCAUAUUAAAAUGACAACAAAAUAUUAGAGGACUACAAUACAAAUAAAUAGGAGAACGUAUUAGGCAAAGAAAAACAUGAAUAAUAGAUAACAGAAGGCUUCAAGUUUUAAAUUCAAUACACCAAAAACGCGCCUCUUCCACACAAAAUUUACCAGUGACGCCCAGAUAUAAAAGUUCGAAAAGUAAAAAAAAGUACAAAAUUGUACAGCACUGAGGAUCAAAAGUUGAAAAAGGUUGUGCCAAAUGCAGCUAGGGUUUUAAGAAAACAGUCACAAAAGAGGGACGAAGGAUACCAAAGGGACAGUCAAACUCAUAAAUCGAAAAUAAACUGACAACGCCAUGGCCAAAAAUGAAAAAGACAAACAGACAAAAAUAGCACACACAACAUAGAAAACUGAAGAAUAAGCAACACGAACCCC